UCAGGUCCAUUAGAAAAGCAUGAAAAUGAUGGUACUCAAACAUCGAUGUACUUUGGAGAUUCAUCAUCAGAUUUCUUUUGCUCUCUCCCAUUCCUCAACCUCUGGUGGCUCCACCAGCCCCAGACCACCUUGCAUCAGAAAUUCAUAACCUUCUUCAGGAUGAAACACGAGAUCUACCAGAUGCUGACCAAUAUCUACAAACUUCACAAGUUCCCCAUUCUCAGACAACACCAGAAGCUUUGCAUCGAGAAGAUUCUUGACGACCAUUUAACCCUCAGAACGAGUUGCCAACAUACCGUCCCCGAUCCAGCUGUCCAUCAUAGAUGUUCUGCCAACCACUUUGCUCUUUCUUUGCAUUGCCAAACUCUUCAAGCACUUUCUAGUUACAUCAUCAUCUAGAAGUUCAAUGCAGAAUUUCAACACAUUCACUGAAAGGUUUUCAUAAUCAUCACGACAGGAUGCAUGUUGCAUGCUCAAACUGUUGAGCGCAUAUUCCCAGGUUUCAGUGUCCGACACAUUGCUUAAAGCCCUUGCCAUAAGAGCGAGCGAGCGAGAAUCACGUGCACACGCUCUGACUAUUUCUUUGGCUAUUGUCUGGAUUUCCAUGGAAAGCACUACUUCACCCGCAUUUUGGUAGAACAGUUCCCAAGAUAACGUAUCAUGAUUUUCAGUGUGUCCUAUGUUAGCAUCACUUGACAUCUCAACUUGCAUACAUCCCUCAUCUGAAGCAGCAAAUGGACCGCUCUGUGUGGUCGCCUCCACAAAAUGAAUAUCCUCCUGGAAGCUUUCAGAUACUGUGAGUUUUCGGUAUUUUUGCCUUGCUCGUGCCACCAUUCCAUCUUCGCUGUCAGAGUCUGAGUAACACGAGUCAGUUUCUUUACAAGGAUUGUCUAGAUCGCUCUGCAAUUGCACCUCCAAAGGAAUUGGUUCAAUGUCUAUUCCUUCGGAGCAUCUGUCCUGCAUCGGAUCAGCAAUAUCUCCUAGACACUGCAUUGCCUUGGAAUUGUUGCCUAAAGCUAACGUGAAGAUUUCUUCUCUUUGGUUCUGACCAUUGUGGCUUGGCACCUUUUUUUAUCUUAGAGUCCUCUGCCCUGCAAAAUCGCUCGGUCCAACCUGGGGAUUCAUAAGCUGCAGCCGAAUAGAUGAAAGCGGGUCAAACAUGACAGAUGCGUAUUCCAGAUGUUCUUUAUCUCAGCAUCUGUCCUUCCAGGAAGAUGCCCUGCAAUUGCACUCCACCUGCAGCAGUAUGUGCAUUCUGAAAAUUAAACACAAGGAAACUAGAACUAAUACCAUUAUUAUGGGAAGUCUGGGUUGUGGGACUCAAGCCAAACACAGUGAUUGUGAGAAACACCAUCGAGACUACUUUGGUGCAAAUUUUUCCAAAGCCAUGCCAGGAUAGACUGAAGGCUUGGUUUCGUGACGCAUUGCAAUCAGAUAUACAUGCGAGUGAAUGGUUGAAGAGCAAAGCAAUGGUCCUGGGUUGUAACUUUCAGGCAUGGGAGUAACCAAAGUGAAGAUAGAUGGUUAAGAUUACCAGCCGAAUGUGAUGCAUCAUUUUAGAAAGUCCAGUCAGAGUGUAGGAAAAUCAUUUGUAGUGUCAAAAUUGUUCAGGGCAUUUAUCGCUUGCAAGUGAAUAAUUAGCCAGUAGUUGCAGGUUACCUGUUUCCGAGUUGUUGAUGGAGUUUAAUGAUGACUUCUUGUUCAUCUUCGGAGAAUUUGCCUCUUCUGAUAUUUGGCCUCAAGUAGUUCAUCCACCUCAGCCUGCAGCUUUUGCCACUCCUUUUGAGCCCUGCUGCCUUAGGCAUAUGAUUCCAACUCCAAAUACCGAAUCUUUUUAUGUAAUUAGUCAGCUUCGUGUCUUCCUCUACACUCCACGGCCCCUUCUUCAAUGGACCUGUAUAAGGACAAACGCCAUUGCCACGACAAGAUUCAGUAAUCACACUGAUACUAAUGUGAGGAUAGUAGUAGUUAAUGAGACGGACAUUCACCGCAGUGAUCAUUCACCACGAAACUUUCACUUCUUGCUUCCUUGAUUCUUGCUCCUUCAGCAGAAGCCUGUCGAAUAAUUCGAGCCCCUAGCCGGAAUUUGUUACUUCUUGUCCAGCUAGAGUUAUCAGUGAAAGAUAUGCCGCCAAGGCAAGCAAUCCGUUCUCACAAAGUGACUAAAAGCUCUCCUGCCUUCUGUUUCACUGAUAAUACAAGCAUUGAAAUCCUGCUCCGUCCAAUCUUCUUCUGGUUCAUGGCAUCCAAAGUUACCGUCCAGCACUACAAUCUCAAUCCUCUCCGAUGAUAGAGGAUCAGCGCUGACUGUUUUAUUGGUCCUCUCAUCGAGUAACCUAAGUUUGAUGGGAUUAUUUUCCUCAUCUACUAGAUAACUGCCGGUGAAGAUAGUAGCGCACAACUUGUUGACAAAUUCCAAUCGAAGUAGAGCACUUUCUCCUCGGGAAGUUUCCU